CACUCUAUCUCCAUGUCCAUACUCAUGUCACUAUCUGAAAUGGGAUGAAUACAAUCUACCAUGUAAAGUUCUUUGGAAGAAUUGAAAGAAAUUAUGUCUGAGACAGCUGGACUGAGGCAACACCUUACAAAGCUGAGCCUGCCAAGGUAAACUGUGGCUCUGUCUUUGCAGGACUCUCUGCCUGGCUUUUUAGCCACAUAAAAUGCACCAUGGAGCAUUUUUUCCUGAAGAAGAGCCCACGGGGGAACUGAGGUGCAGAACUCAUUGUCCUUAUCAUCUGAGACGAUGUAGCUACAUUGUCAGGAGGAACAUCCUACAAGUUGGUUUCGCACCUCCCAGGCUCUGGCAUGUGGGAGAACACAGCGCCGGGACUGAGGAAACAGUAAGGCACACUUAAAGGGACUGAAGUAAAAACUUGAGCUGUCU